rnacentral:pre_miRNA from 1 species
UCUUACAGAUGAGCAAAGAAAAUGGUUUCUUGAGAUGGAGUCUACUCUGGUGAAGAUGCUGUGAA